UACGUAGGGGGCUAGCGUUGUCCGGAUUUAUUGGGCGUAAAGGGCGCGUAGGCGGUGCGGUAAGUCACCUGUGAAAUCUCCUGGCUCAACUGGGAGCUUGCAGGCGAAACUGCCGUGCUGGAGUGUGGGAGAGGUGCGUGGAAUUCCUGGUGUAGCGGUGAAAUGCGUAGAUAUCAUUUGGAACGCCAAUGGUGAAAACAACUCGCUGGGGAAGUGCUGACGCUGAGACACGAAAGCCAGGGGAGCGAACGGG
rnacentral:rRNA from 1 species